GGGCGGCCAGGGCUGGGACAGGAAUGAAUUCCCUGCGGGUCCGGCAUCCUCCUCCAGCCUGGGGCGCCGGCAGCGCGGCGGGCAGUGCUGGGACUCGUGGCGCCCGCGCUCCAGCCCCCGCCCCGGGCCGCUACUGUCGGCGGGGCCCGCGGGGCGCAGGCUGCUCUGCCUCUGGGGCUCCAGUCCGCCUGCACUGUGACGUGGGCAGCAGCUGGGGCGGGCAGUGCCUCGGUCUCCGCUCGGGGACGCGGUGAUUUUCUUUUUUUUUUUUCCGACUGCCGGAGCCCGUGGUGGUGGUGCUGGGGGGCGGGGUCGGCGUGGGCAGAGCUGCGGGGGCUGCCGCGGAGGCCGCCCUAGGAGGGAGGGGGCGGACCCGGGUGUGAGGUGAGCGGCCGUAAUGAGCACUCGGAGGAGCAAGGGGCCCGGCGUGGGCCUCCAGGGCGGGAGGCCCUGACGCAGGGAGGAGGCAGCCGGGCAGCCAAGGGCCUCCCUGGGGAGUGUGCGGAGGCCGGGACGGAGCAGCGCGUAACUAGGGAGAGGAUAGGCCGGGCUGGUGGAGAUGCGGGGAGAGACCAGCCAAAGCUAAAGAGCCAAAGCAAAGGCAACUACAAUGUCGGCACUGCCCUAGGCUCCAGGGCCACAGAGACAACCAUAGCUUCAGCCUCCUGCUCCGAAUGACAUCUCUCAGAAGUCUUCCCUGACUGUCCAGGCGGAAUUAAUGGUUCACUUCCCUGUUCCUCUAUACCUUGAACAUCCCUCUACAACUGAAUGCUCCUUCAUUCCAUUUCAUUGCACCAGCAUGUAUCGAGGGUCUACUGUUAUCUAUCACUGAAGAGAAUGAUUGCAAAAAACUUGAAUGAACAUGGAAAAUGCUGAUGAUCAGAUUUCCAUUGAAAAGAACGGGGUGCUCCUUGGGGUGGGGGUGUUGUGGUUGUAAUUGUCAGAAAGUGUUUAAUAAAAGAAACAGAAA